rnacentral:lncRNA from 1 species
GUUAUCUCAUCUUUAAUCUUUGGCCCUCUACAAAUCUCUCUCGGCUCUACUUUCCACAGCUAAAAAACUACCUGAGGAAUUCCUUUUAGGCGUACAAGUUACAACACAGAGUAAAUUUUAUCAACACUAGUUAAUGGGGUUCUUCUCUGCUUUUUCGAAUUGUUUCAUGCCGUCGUUGUCAUCGCAACGGGUUUCCGAUGAUGCUGGUGGGUCUUCUGGAGUGAAAGCGUCGAAGGAAUCCAAAUGCAAAUCAAAGUCUUCAUCAGAAGCUCCUUUAGUAGUCUCUUACUUCCCCAGUAACUCUUAUCCCUCCCGCUUGUGAUCGUAUAUAUUGGUUGGUUCUUUUAUAUCUCUCUCGCUUGUGAUCAAAAUCAUGAUCACAAGAAGCUCCACGAGUGCAGAACGUUGGCAAUUAUAGCGACCAAGAAUCGAAACUAUGUUCGAAAAAUAUCUGGAGUGGAAACGGGGGACCACACUUUGGCAGAUAUGCGUAUGGUCCCUGGCUUAAAAAACUAGCAUGGGUAACAUAUGAUAACACAUUAAUUGGAGGCUAAAAGCUCACUUUUGAUAUCUGUAGUUUGUUUUUUUUUCAUUUUUGGUUUCUGUAGUUUCUAUUCGAUCACUUUUACCAUUGUAGUUUCAUAAUUGUGGC